UACGUAGGGUGCAAGCGUUAAUCGGAAUUACUGGGCGUAAAGCGUGCGCAGGCGGUUAUGCAAGACAGAUGUGAAAUCCCCGGGCUCAACCUGGGAACUGCAUUUGUGACUGCAUGGCUAGAGUGCGGCAGAGGGGGAUGGAAUUCCGCGUGUAGCAGUGAAAUGCGUAGAUAUGCGGAGGAACACCGAUGGCGAAGGCAGCCCCCUGGGUCAAGAUUGACGCUCAUGCACGAAAGCGUGGGGAGCAAACAGG
rnacentral:rRNA from 1 species